CCUACGGGAGGCAGCAGUGAGGAAUUUUCCGCAAUGGGCGAAAGCCUGACGGAGCAAUACCGCGUGAGGGAUGAAGGAUUUUGGUCUGUAAACCUCUUUUCUCAAGAAAGAAGUUCUGACGGUACCUGAGGAAUAAGCAUCGGCUAACUCCGUGCCAGCAGCCGCGGUAAUACGGGGGAUGCGAGCGUUAUCCGGAAUGAUUGGGCGUAAAGCGCCUGUAGGUUGUUUAUUAAGUCCGUUGUUAAAGCCUAGGGCUUAACCCUAGAAAAGCAAUGGAAACUAGUAGACUAGAGUAUGGCAGGGGUAGAGGGAAUUUCUAGUGUAGCGGUGAAAUGCGUAGAUAUUAGAAAGAACACCGGUGGCGAAAGCGCUCUACUGGACCAUUACUGACACUCAGAGGCGAAAGCUAGGGUAGCAAAAGGGAUUAGAUACCCCUGUAGUCCUAGCCGUAAACGAUGGAUACUAGAUGUUGUGCAUUAUGUACAGUAUCGUAGCUAACGCGUUAAGUAUCCCGCCUGGGGAGUACGCUCGCAAGGGUGAAACGUCAAAGGAAUUGACGG
rnacentral:rRNA from 1 species